UACAGAGGUCUCAAGCGUUGUUCGGAUUCAUUGGGCGUAAAGCGCACGUAGGCGGACUCUUAAGUCGGUGGUGAAAUCCUGGAGCUCAACUCCAGAACUGCCUUCGAUACUGAGAGUCUCGAGUCCGGGAGAGGUGAGUGGAACUGCGAGUGUAGAGGUGAAAUUCGUAGAUAUUCGCAAGAACACCAGUGGCGAAGGCGGCUCACUGGCCCGAUACUGACGCUGAGGCACGAAAGCGUGGGGAGCAAACAGGG
rnacentral:rRNA from 1 species